CCCUUAGAUGAUUUGGGCCGCACGCGCGCUACACUGAUGCAUUCAACGAGUCUAAAACCUGGUCUGAUAGGGCUGGGUAAUCUUUUGAAAGUGCAUCGUGAUUGGGAUAGAUGAUUGCAAUUCUUCAUCUUCAACGAGGAAUGCCUAGUAAACGCAAGUCAUCAGCUUGCAUUGAUUACGUCCCUGCCCUUUGUACACACCGCCCGUCGCUCCUACCGAUUGAAUGAUCCGAUGAAUACCAUGGAUUGAGAGUACGAAUGGGUUCGCUCAUUUCUGCUGCUCGAGAAGUGGAGUAAAUCUUAUCAUUAGAGGAAGGAGAAGUCGUAACA
rnacentral:rRNA from 1 species